rnacentral:rRNA from 2 species
UAUGAAGGCUUUCGGGUCGUAAAACUCUGUUGUUAGGGAAGAACAAGUACAAGAGUAACUGCUGCCUCCCGUACGAUACCUAACCAGAAAGCCACGGCUAACUACGUGCCAGCAGCCGCGGUAAUACGUAGGUGGCAAGCGUUAUCCGGAAUUAUUGGGCGUAAAGCGCGCGCAGGCGGUUUCUUAAGUCUGAUGUGAAAGCCCACGGCUCAACCGUGGAGGGUCAUUGGAAACUGGGGAACUUGAGUGCAGAAGAGAAAAGCGGAAUUCCACGUGUAGCGGUGAAAUGCGUAGAGAUGUGGAGGAACACCAGUGGCGAAGGCGGCUUUUUGGUCUGUAACUGACGCUGAGGCGCGAAAGCGUGGGGAGCAAACAGGAUUAGAUACCCUGGUAGUCCACGCCGUAAACGAUGAGUGCUAAGUGUUAGAGGGUUUCCGCCCUUUAGUGCUGCAGCUAACGCAUUAAGCACUCCGCCUGGGGAGUACGGUCGCAAGACUGAAACUCAA